GGUUAAGCGACUAAGCGUACACGGUGGAUGCCCUGGCAGUCAGAGGCGAUGAAGGACGUGCUAAUCUGCGAUAAGCGUCGGUAAGGUGAUAUGAACCGUUAUAACCGGCGAUUUCCGAAUGGGGAAACCCAGUGUGUUUCGACACACUAUCAUUAACUGAAUCCAUAGGUUAAUGAGGCGAACCGGGGGAACUGAAACAUCUAAGUACCCCGAGGAAAAGAAAUCAACCGAGAUUCCCCCAGUAGCGGCGAGCGAACGGGGAGCAGCCCAGAGCCUGAAUCAGUGUGUGUGUUAGUGGAAGCGUCUGGAAAGGCGCGCGAUACAGGGUGACAGCCCCGUACACAAAAAUGCACAUGCUGUGAGCUCGAUGAGUAGGGCGGGACACGUGGUAUCCUGUCUGAAUAUGGGGGGACCAUCCUCCAAGGCUAAAUACUCCUGACUGACCGAUAGUGAACCAGUACCGUGAGGGAAAGGCGAAAAGAACCCCGGCGAGGGGAGUGAAAAAGAACCUGAAACCGUGUACGUACAAGCAGUGGGAGCACGCUUAGGCGUGUGACUGCGUACCUUUUGUAUAAUGGGUCAGCGACUUAUAUUCUGUAGCAAGGUUAACCGAAUAGGGGAGCCGAAGGGAAACCGAGUCUUAACUGGGCGUUAAGUUGCAGGGUAUAGACCCGAAACCCGGUGAUCUAGCCAUGGGCAGGUUGAAGGUUGGGUAACACUAACUGGAGGACCGAACCGACUAAUGUUGAAAAAUUAGCGGAUGACUUGUGGCUGGGGGUGAAAGGCCAAUCAAACCGGGAGAUAGCUGGUUCUCCCCGAAAGCUAUUUAGGUAGCGCCUCGUGAAUUCAUCUCCGGGGGUAGAGCACUGUUUCGGCAAGGGGGUCAUCCCGACUUACCAACCCGAUGCAAACUGCGAAUACCGGAGAAUGUUAUCACGGGAGACACACGGCGGGUGCUAACGUCCGUCGUGAAGAGGGAAACAACCCAGACCGCCAGCUAAGGUCCCAAAGUCAUGGUUAAGUGGGAAACGAUGUGGGAAGGCCCAGACAGCCAGGAUGUUGGCUUAGAAGCAGCCAUCAUUUAAAGAAAGCGUAAUAGCUCACUGGUCGAGUCGGCCUGCGCGGAAGAUGUAACGGGGCUAAACCAUGCACCGAAGCUGCGGCAGCGACACUAUGUGUUGUUGGGUAGGGGAGCGUUCUGUAAGCCUGUGAAGGUGUGCUGUGAGGCAUGCUGGAGGUAUCAGAAGUGCGAAUGCUGACAUAAGUAACGAUAAAGCGGGUGAAAAGCCCGCUCGCCGGAAGACCAAGGGUUCCUGUCCAACGUUAAUCGGGGCAGGGUGAGUCGACCCCUAAGGCGAGGCCGAAAGGCGUAGUCGAUGGGAAACAGGUUAAUAUUCCUGUACUUGGUGUUACUGCGAAGGGGGGACGGAGAAGGCUAUGUUGGCCGGGCGACGGUUGUCCCGGUUUAAGCGUGUAGGCUGGUUUUCCAGGCAAAUCCGGAAAAUCAAGGCUGAGGCGUGAUGACGAGGCACUACGGUGCUGAAGCAACAAAUGCCCUGCUUCCAGGAAAAGCCUCUAAGCAUCAGGUAACAUCAAAUCGUACCCCAAACCGACACAGGUGGUCAGGUAGAGAAUACCAAGGCGCUUGAGAGAACUCGGGUGAAGGAACUAGGCAAAAUGGUGCCGUAACUUCGGGAGAAGGCACGCUGAUAUGUAGGUGAGGUCCCUCGCGGAUGGAGCUGAAAUCAGUCGAAGAUACCAGCUGGCUGCAACUGUUUAUUAAAAACACAGCACUGUGCAAACACGAAAGUGGACGUAUACGGUGUGACGCCUGCCCGGUGCCGGAAGGUUAAUUGAUGGGGUCACAGCACUGUGCAAACACGAAAGUGGACGUAUACGGUGUGACGCCUGCCCGGUGCCGGAAGGUUAAUUGAUGGGGUUAGCGCAAGCGAAGCUCUUGAUCGAAGCCCCGGUAAACGGCGGUACCGUAACUAUAACGGUCCUAAGGUAGCGAAAUUCCUUGUCGGGUAAGUUCCGACCUGCACGAAUGGCGUAAUGAUGGCCAGGCUGUCUCCACCCGAGACUCAGUGAAAUUGAACUCGCUGUGAAGAUGCAGUGUACCCGCGGCAAGACGGAAAGACCCCGUGAACCUUUACUAUAGCUUGACACUGAACAUUGAGCCUUGAUGUGUAGGAUAGGUGGGAGGCUUUGAAGUGUGGACGCCAGUCUGCAUGGAGCCGACCUUGAAAUACCACCCUUUAAUGUUUGAUGUUCUAACGUUGACCCGUAAUCCGGGUUGCGGACAGUGUCUGGUGGGUAGUUUGACUGGGGCGGUCUCCUCCUAAAGAGUAACGGAGGAGCACGAAGGUUGGCUAAUCCUGGUCGGACAUCAGGAGGUUAGUGCAAUGGCAUAAGCCAGCUUGACUGCGAGCGUGACGGCGCGAGCAGGUGCGAAAGCAGGUCAUAGUGAUCCGGUGGUUCUGAAUGGAAGGGCCAUCGCUCAACGGAUAAAAGGUACUCCGGGGAUAACAGGCUGAUACCGCCCAAGAGUUCAUAUCGACGGCGGUGUUUGGCACCUCGAUGUCGGCUCAUCACAUCCUGGGGCUGAAGUAGGUCCCAAGGGUAUGGCUGUUCGCCAUUUAAAGUGGUACGCGAGCUGGGUUUAGAACGUCGUGAGACAGUUCGGUCCCUAUCUGCCGUGGGCGCUGGAGAACUGAGGGGGGCUGCUCCUAGUACGAGAGGACCGGAGUGGACGCAUCACUGGUGUUCGGGUUGUCAUGCCAAUGGCACUGCCCGGUAGCUAAAUGCGGAAGAGAUAAGUGCUGAAAGCAUCUAAGCACGAAACUUGCCCCGAGAUGAGUUCUCCCUGACUCCUUGAGAGUCCUGAAGGAACGUUGAAGACGACGACGUUGAUAGGCCGGGUGUGUAAGCGCAGCGAUGCGUUGAGCUAACCGGUACUAAUGAACCGUGAGGCUUAACCUU
rnacentral:rRNA from 1 species